GAUGAACGCUGGCGGCGUGCCUAAUACAUGCAAGUCGAGCGAACAGACGAGGAGCUCGCUUCUCUGACGUUAGCGGCGGACGGGUGAGUAACACGUGGAUAACCUACCUAUAAGACUGGGAUAACUUCGGGAAACCGGAGCUAAUACCGGAUAAUAUAUUGAACCGCAUGGUUCAAUAGUGAAAGACGGUUUUGCUGUCACUUAUAGAUGGAUCCGCGCCGCAUUAGCUAGUUGGUAAGGUAACGGCUUACCAAGGCAACGAUGCGUAGCCGACCUGAGAGGGUGAUCGGCCACACUGGAACUGAGACACGGUCCAGACUCCUACGGGAGGCAGCAGUAGGGAAUCUUCCGCAAUGGGCGAAAGCCUGACGGAGCAACGCCGCGUGAGUGAUGAAGGUCUUCGGAUCGUAAAACUCUGUUAUUAGGGAAGAACAAAUGUGUAAGUAACUAUGCACGUCUUGACGGUACCUAAUCAGAAAGCCACGGCUAACUACGUG
rnacentral:rRNA from 1 species